rnacentral:rRNA from 1 species
AUUGAACGCUGGCGGAAUGCUUUACACAUGCAAGUCGAACGGCAGCACGGGGGCAACCCUGGUGGCGAGUGGCGAACGGGUGAGUAAUACAUCGGAACGUGCCCAGUCGUGGGGGAUAACGUAGCGAAAGUUACGCUAAUACCGCAUACGAUCUACGGAUGAAAGCGGGGGACCGUAAGGCCUCGCGCGAUUGGAGCGGCCGAUGUCAGAUUAGGUAGUUGGUGAGGUAAAGGCUCCCCAAGCCGACGAUCUGUAGCUGGUCUGAGAGGACGACCAUCCACACGGGGGCUGAGACACGGCCCAGACUCCUGCGGGAGGAAGCAGUGGUGAAUUUUGGAGAAUGGGCGCAAGCCGGAUUCAGCCAUUCCGCGUGCAGGACGAAGGCCUUCGGGUUGUAAACUGCUUUUGUACGGAACGAAAAGGCUCUGGUUAAUACCUGGGGCUCAUGACGGUACCGUAAGAAUAAGCACCGGCUAACUACGUGCCAGCCGCCGCAGUAA